CAAAAGCACUAUCUUACUUUGCCGCUAGAGGAGCAAUGUUUUCAAAUCAUAGUUCAUUUGUCACAUGCGCGGAAUACAACAAUUGAAGCAGACCUUAGUGAAAUGCAUACUUACAAUAGGCUCUAACCAAUAGUGCAAAAAAGGUAUUAGGUGAACAAUAGACAGGUUGGACUCUUUCUCAACUCCCACAAAAAAUGUAAUAACAUACAACAACAGUCACACAAUAAGAGGGCUACAGCUAGGAAGAAGAUGAUGAAGACAGGUGUGGGAGAGGUGCUGCCCUUCAUCAAGUGUAUUGUGUACAGGAAAAUCAGGUGACCCGGUACGACCAACAGGAGCAGCACCUGUGCAGAGCGAUGAUUGGCUCCUGUCAGAGAUAAACCCUACUACAUACAACGCCAACCAAGUCUCCAUUCAAGACAAGCAUCUCAUGUCUACAACUGUCAAUCAUUCUCUGCCAUGUAUCAUCUCCAUUACCGGAAUCUAGAAAGACUUUUAAACUGAACUGCAUCUCUGCCUCCAGCUGCUCAGUAGAUGGGCAUCACCGUAACCCUCACCUAAACCUCAGUGUUUCCCUUGGGGACCCUUAUUAUUGGAGGACAUAUAGGAAAUGUAUAAAAGCACCCCUUGGUCAUGUUCAGGUGAGAGCUUUUUACUGUGAAUGUCCUUUCUGUGUACAGGUUGUAUGGUGUUGCUGGUGGAUUAUUUCUGCGAGGAACCAUUUUGUGACUAUGUUGUCUUGAAGAAAUGUUUGGGGUGUAGUCGAUUGUUCUGAAUGGUAUAUGUUGACUUUGACCAUCAGUGAGUUAUUCCCUGAGUGACAAUAUGUCUGAUUUUCAUUAUGUAAGGCCACUGCAAUCAUGGCCUUCUAUUUGAAAUCACUUUGUUUGGAGCGGCGUUGCUGGUUUGAGGUACAGGCUGUGCGUUGCUGGUUUGAGGUACAGGCUGUGCCCUCCAAAAAAGGCUCUGUCUAAGUAAAGUCAUUUCUAUUUCUACAAUAUCUAUUGUUUAUGUCAAUUCUGUGGUUAACUGUUCUUUCUUGUGGAAGUAACAGAUCUAUGAAGUCAUUUUGGUGUACUCUUGUUAAUGUGUGUUAUUUAUCUGUGUCAAACAAGCAACCCUAAUCCUCAGCUUUACUAAACUUUGCUUGUUCUUUAUCUGCCUUUGUAGUGUUUUCCUUUAAUGGGUCUAGAACCUGUGUCUAUUGUUUUUAGAUGUUACAAUUUCUCAAAACUUUUGCCCCAACUCAAUAGGUGGCCUGUCAUGAACCUGUGUGUCUUAUGUUCUGGUUUAGUUGUUCCCCUAAUUAAACAGUAACUGGGGUAGUCUUGAAGUUGUGCCAGUUUAGCUAACCCUAGUCGGCAGGUGUUACCACAAUAUGCUACUGUCAUGUCUGCAAAAACACUACAGUGAAUGCUAUUGUAUACAACACUCAUGUUUGCAAAAAAACACAACAGUGAAUACUAUAGUAUAUAAAUAUAAUACUACUGUAUUUAGACCAUAGUAUACUAUAUUAUUUUGUAAUGUGGGUUAGCUGUAAAUGUGUAAUAUGUUGGAUGUUUGAACUAGGACCCCUUUUUUUGUAUUAUUCUCAUUAAAAAGAAAUC